CCUUCGAUAACUCAGCUGAUAGAGCGGAGGACUGAAGAUCCUUAGGUUGCUGGUUCGAUUCCGGCUCGAAGGA
rnacentral:tRNA from 1 species